AGAGUUAAACAGUACGUGAAAUUGUUGAAAGGGAAACGAUUGAAGUCAGUCAUGCUGCGAGGAAUCAACUUGGUGGUUUACUUCCUUGUGUACUUUCUCGCUUGGCAGGUUAACAUCAAUUUUGGUUGUCAUCAAAUAAUUGGGGAAAUGUGGCUUCUCUUCGGUGAAGUGUUUAUAGACCCUGAUAGAUGUGGUAACCCGGAUUGAGGAUUGCAGCGAAUGCCUUUGGCUAGUCACCUGUCUUCUGAUCGUCACCUCGCUUUUGACAGCUUGCUGAUGAUUGUGGGAUUUGAUGGUUUAGAAGUUAGAGUGCACUUAAAUUCGCUAAGGAUGUUGACGUAAUGGCUUUAAACGA
rnacentral:misc_RNA from 1 species